CUUUGCACUUUUUAUCCCACUGACCUGUCAGAGGCAGGUGCGAAGUCUGCUGUUGAAAAGACGAAGAGAUCUACUUUAGCUACCAUUCGGAGGGAAGGUGUUCCUGCAUUGUGGAAAGACCAUCCAGAAGAUUUCUGUGUGAAGUGAAGGACAGUGUCAUGGGAGUGUGUGUGGUGUGUUGAAGUUGUUUCACACAUACACAUAUUAAAACCACCAGACAAAUUAGGGGGCUGAAUUUGGGUCCAGUUUGUAGCUCCAACACCUUAGGACAACCCUGUGGUUGUACUUUAAAAUGAAUACAUGAAUUGAUGGAGUAAAUAAUCCAACUAAAAAUGGUAAGUUGCUGUUGUGGUACAAUAUAUAUAUUCUGAAGUUAACCAGUUGGUCUGCUCACUCCAGAAUGUGUCCACAUAGCAUCUCCCUCACUAACACAACUGACAGUUUCCACAUCCCAGGAUGUCUUGUUUAGAUCCCUCUUUUGUUACCCUGUUUUAAAUUCCUGUUGCUAUUCCCGUAGGUUCUUCGCCCUUACCUGGCUUCAUCCUUCCUUCAUUUAGACCAUGAUCAGCCUGAGCAACAAAGGUUUUCAUCCUGAGAUGCUUGGAGUUCUGGUUGAAUUGCCUACUCCCAACAAACAUUCCAUUGAAGAGGUUGAAACUGGGAAGCCAAGUCCUAUAUACAAUGCCUUUACCUAGAUGCCAACAUCUCAUGUUACGCCACAGCUGCUGUGGAACAGUCCUACCACAAAAGUACACAAAGUGCAAUGAGCAUUGCCUCUGUCUUGGCUCAAGAUCAUUGCCCGGGGUUGGGCCAAUUUGAAAUCCCCUUCCCUUCUCAAACAACUAUCUAAAUCGAAGAGUUGACACCAAAGUUUCCUUGAGCUUUGUUGGGGAAAAAAGAAAACUCAAAGGCAAUUUUCAUUGGAUGAACACUCUUGAUCUGCCACAUCUGGGGCUAAAAGAAAACCGAGCAGACACUCUGGGAAUCCUGAGGGGCUCGGCUCAAUUGGAAAAUGCUGGGAAAGCGUUUACCAGAACAGAUUAUGCUGAGAGUACGUUAAGAGAAAUUACACAGCCGAUGCUCCUUGCUCCAGAGAUACGUCUGUAUUCAUUUAACUCCCAGCUUAAUGGAGACGUACAAGUGGAAGAUAGGAAACACUUUGUCUCGGUGCCAAGGAAUAUAUAAUAAACUGUUUUUCUCAGAUGAAAAGAUAACGCAGGUAUCGCUGUGAUUCCUACAAUGUUUAAUCCUUUCGGAAGAGAUACUUGCAGAUAGCUCAGCAGCUCUUCUGCACCGUCUCCGCUCCAUGAGCUGAAUGCAAACUAAGCUCUUUAAAAAUCUCGCUUCAGAAGCGGUCAUUAAUGCACGACAUUUGAGUAAUAACAAGCAUAAUAGGUGAAAGUUUUUCCAAAGUCUGAAGAUACAAGCUGGGGGAAGGAAAGCCCACUUUCUUUCGGCUCUUGUGUUCCGUUGAAACUAUAAACAGGUUUCCUGCUCUGUUCUCCGACGCUCAAAACACAAAGCAGCUGGCUCAGAGCGCCGCAGAAAGUGGUGGAAAAUUAACAGCGCUCUGGUUUAAUUCACAUGUAAAGAGCCGUUGGAGACAAAGGCAAGUGUUUGAGAAGCAGAUUGCGCGUCUGCUUUUCUCUCGGAACAUCGAGCCACCCUCCCUCGUUCCCUCGGCCUGUUAGCCGGUGAGGGAGAGAGAAAACAGCCCAAAAUGCAGUAACACAAAGGCAGCGCUAGCCCUCCAUCGCCGGCUUACUAAUCGUGGCUCUUUGUUGUGCUCCAUGCAUGCCUGUCCCUGUCACAUGACUGUGUUGCUAUGGCGACGGAGGUCUGAGUAAUCAUUUGCGCAAUGACCUUUAUUCCCUGGAGGGGGGGUGCGUGGUGGAGGGAGAGGGGGGGCAGAGGCUGGAAUGAAAGCGGAGCCAGCGAACGAGGGAGAGGGAGCAAGAGAGACGUGUUGGGGGGAGGAGGGGCGGCGAGCAGCCGAGCGAGGCUGUAGGGACAAACAAAAACGGGCGGAGGGAAAAAAAGAAAAGGCUCUCUUUUCUCUCAGCAGCCGAAGAUCCGUUGGGUUUGCUUAGAUAACGAACGGAGAGACCGAAUAAAAAAAAGGGGGCAGAAAGGAUUCGGUGAAAG
ensembl:lncRNA